rnacentral:rRNA from 1 species
UGGAGCGUGUGGUUUAAUUCGAUGCUACACGAAGAACCUUACCAGGGUUUGACAUGUAAGUGGUAGGGAAGCGAAAGCAGACCGACCCUUCGGGGAGCUUGCACAGGUGCUGCGUGGGUGUCGUCAGCUCGUGUCGUGAGAUGUUCGGUUAAGUCCGCUAACGAGCGCAACCCUCGCUGUAUGUUACAAGUGUCAUACGGUACUGCCGGUCUCAAACCGGAAGAAGGUGGGGAUGACGUCAAGUCAGCAUGGCCUUUAUAUCUUGGGCA